rnacentral:rRNA from 1 species
AACGAACGCUGGCGGUGCGUUUUAAGCAUGCAAGUCGAACGGCAAGUAGGUGCUUGCACUUUCCUAGAGUGGCGCACUGGUGAGUGACGCGUGGGUGAUCUACUUUUAAGAUGGGGAUAGCUUUUAGAGCAUAAGAGAUAAUACCGAAUGUGCUUAUUGAAUUAUGAUUUGAUAAGGAAAGGGGCGAAUGCCUCGCUAUAAAGAUGAGCCUGCGUCCCAUUAGCUAGUUGGCAAGGUAAAGGCUUACCAAGGCGAUGAUGGGUAUCCGACCUGAGAGGGUGAACGGACACAUUGGGACUGAGAUACGGCCCAAACUCAUACGGGAGGCAGCAGCUGAGAAUCUUCCGCAAUGGACGAAAGUCUGACGGAGCGACACCGCGUGAAUGAUGAAGGCCGGAAGGUUGUAAAGUUCUUUUGCAGACAAAGAAUAAGUGUAGGAGGGAAUGACUACAUGAUGACGGUAGUUAUGUGAAUAAGCCCCGGCUAAUUACGUGCCAGCAGCCGCGGUAAUACGUAAGGGGCGAGCGUUGUUCGGAAUUAUUGGGCGUAAAGGGCAUGUAGGCGGUUUAGUAAGCCUGAUGUGAAAUCUACGAGCUUAACUCGUAAACUGCAUUGGGUACUGCUGAUCUUGAAUCAUAGAGGGGGAACUGGAAUUCCAAGUGUAGGGGUGGAAUCUGUAGAUAUUUGGAAGAACACCGGUGGCGAAGGCGGGUUUCUAGCUAAUGAUUGACGCUGAUAUGCGAAGGUGCGGGGAGCAAACAGGAUUAGAUACCCUGGUAGUCCGCACAGUAAACUAUGUACACUAGGUGUUGGGGUAAGACUCAGUGCCGUUGCAAACGCAAUAAGUGUACCGCCUGGGGAGUAUGCCCGCAAGGGUGAAACUCAAAGGAAUUGACGGGGGCCCACACAAGCGGUGGAGCAUGUGGUUUAGUUCGAUGGUACGCGACGAACCUUACCUGGGUCUGACAUCAAGAGGGAUAUUAUAGAGAUAUGGUAG